rnacentral:rRNA from 1 species
GAUGAACGCUGGCGGCGUGCCUAAUACAUGCAAGUCGAGCGAAUGGAUUAAGAGCUUGCUCUUAUGAAGUUAGCGGCGGACGGGUGAGUAACACGUGGGUAACCUGCCCAUAAGACUGGGAUAACUCCGGGAAACCGGGGCUAAUACCGGAUAACAUUUUGAACCGCAUGGUUCGAAAUUGAAAGGCGGCGUCGGCUGUCACUUAUGGAUGGACCCGCGUCGCAUUAGCUAGUUGGUGAGGUAACGGCUCCCCAAGGCAACGAUGCGUAGCCGACCUGAGAGGGUGAUCGGCCACACUGGGACUGAGACACGGCCCAGACUCCUACGGGAGGCAGCAGUAGGGAAUCUUCCGCAAUGGACGAAAGUCUGACGGAGCAACGCCGCGUGAGUGAUGAAGGCUUUCGGGUCGUAAAACUCUGUUGUUAGGGAAGAACGAGUGCUAGUUGAAUAAGCUGGCACCUUGACGGUACCUAACCAGAAAGCCACGGCUAACUACGUGCCAGCCGCCGCAGUAA